UUUCCGUAGGUGAACCUGCGGAAGGAUCAUUAUUGUAUAACCGAGGUGCGAGGGCUGUCGCUGACCCGAAAGGUCGUGCACGCCCGAGUCCCCUCACACACAUCCAUCUCACCCCUAUGUGCACCACCGCGUGGGUCCCCCUUUGGCUUGUUCGGAGGGGGGCUUACGUUUUCACACAAACUUUGUAUGCAGUGUAGAAUGUAUUUUUUGUUUUUGCGAUCACGCAAUCAAUACAACUUUCAACAACGGAUCUCUUGGCUCUC
rnacentral:misc_RNA from 1 species